rnacentral:rRNA from 1 species
GAUGAACGCUGGCGGCGUGCCUAAUACAUGCAAGUCGAGCGAACGGACGAGAAGCUUGCUUUUCUGAUGUUAGCGGCGGACGGGUGAGUAACACGUGGAUACCCUACCUAUAAGACUGGGAUAACUUCGGGAAACCGGAGCUCAUACCGGAUAAUAUUUUGAACCGCAUGGUUCAAAAGUGAAAGACGGUCUUGCUGUCACUUAUAGAUGGAUCCGCGCUGCAUUAGCUAGUUGGUAAGGUAACGGCUUACCAAGGCGAUGAUGCGUAGCCGACCUGAGAGGGGGAUCGGCCACACUGGAACUGAGACACGGUCCAGACUCCUACGGGAGGCAGCAGUAGGGAAUCUUCGGCAAUGGGCGAAAGCCUGACGGAGCAACGCCGCGUGAGUGAUGAAGGUCUUCGGAUCGUAAAGCUCUGUUAGUGGGGAAGAACAGAUGUGUACGUAACUGUGCACAUCUUGACGGUACCUAAUCAAAAAGCCACGGCUAACUACGUG